GACGUAGGGAUGCGAGCGUUGUCCGGAUUUAUUGGGCGUAAAGAGCUCGUAGGCGGCUCGUCGCGUCGACUGUGAAAACCUGGGGCUUAACCCUGGGCCUGCAGUCGAUACGGGCGGGCUAGAGUUCGGUAGGGGAGACUGGAAUUCCAGGUGUAGCGGUGAAAUGCGCAGAUAUUAGGAGGAACACCGGUGGCGAAGGCGCCACUCUGGGCCGAAACUGACGCUGAGGAGCGAAAGCGUGGGUAGCAAACAGG
rnacentral:rRNA from 1 species